GCUUGUGCAUAUUGACCAUCAAAUGCAUAAGCACGCAUGCGCCAUGUUACGUUUUGCUACGAUACGUUACGGUAAGUGGCUAGUGGAAAACAGGCUUAAGGGACUGGAGAACUCUGAAAGUUUGGGACUUUCUAUUUGGACCAUUAACAUUGGAAAGUUUACAAAAUUUGUCUCAAUUAUUAAAUUAUGAUAGCUACCUACCAUGAAAGUAAAGACGUAACGAUGCGUGGCAUUCAACAUAACUAAAGAUUCUCCAGUGACACAAAGGACCUUUUGCAAUCACAGCAUUGAUGAAACUUCUUGUGAAUGUACUGAUGGACAACCAUGGAGUUGCCUUGGUCAAACUCUUUUGGGCAAACUCCGCAUUUGUAGAUGCCAUUUUCAUCAGGUGUAAGAUUGCUGGCAUCAAUAACCGUAGGUUGAGGCUGAACACUGUUUUCCUUCAUCUCUUUAUCAACUUAAUAAAUAAGUGGAGUGAGAACUUUGCAAAAACAUAAAAUAAACAUAAAUGGUGUUGUUCAGAAUGAGAAAA